GAGUUUGAUCGUGGCUCAGAUUGAACGCUGGCGGCAUGCCUUACACAUGCAAGUCGAACGGCAGCACGGGAGCUUGCUCCUGGUGGGCGAGUGGCGAACGGGUGAGUAAUGCAUCGGAACGUAUCCUGGAGUGGGGGAUAACGUAGCGAAAGUUACGCUAAUACCGCAUAUUCUGUGAGCAGGAAAGCGGGGGACCUUCGGGCCUCGCGCUCUUGGAGCGGCCGAUGUCGGAUUAGCUAGUUGGUGAGGUAAAGGCUCACCAAGGCGACGAUCCGUAGCAGGUCUGAGAGGAUGAUCUGCCACACUGGAACUGAGACACGGUCCAGACUCCUACGGGAGGCAGCAGUGGGGAAUUUUGGACAAUGGGGGCAACCCUGAUCCAGCCAUGCCGCGUGAGUGAAGAAGGCCUGGUG
rnacentral:rRNA from 1 species